GUUGUUCUCAGGUGUGUUUUUUGAGGACCCGAUUUUGGUCCAAAAGGUGGGGCUGUUGUUAGUCAGAUCUGCAGAGGAAAAGGACAUGGCGCAGGGAAAAGAGAAACAGUUGUAUGGCGUGGAAACUUUCUCCAAGCUACUGGAGCUCGUCACCAUCCGCCAUCGUCUGCUGGAAUCGGCCUCAGAGACUGCACAUCUAGCACAGUUGUACAGAAAUGUGGCGUCAGAGCUCGGCUUUGAUGAGUUCCACCUUUACCUGAGGCCAGUGCAUUUUGAGGUUGCUGCGCAGAAAGACAAAGCAGAGCAGAGGCCAGUUUUCAUCACAGCCAUACUGGAAGAUGACAGCUCUGUGGACAGGUUCAGCCCGUCCCACCUGCCUCUGAGCAUCCAGGAACUGGACGAGAACCAGAUCGGGAGGUUCAGCUUCAGCUCAGAGGAGGCAGUUAUUCAUCUUAUGAACACACAGAGUAUAGAAAACCUGCAGGUGACUCUGGCCUGUCAGGUUGCACAGAAGAACGCUUUGAUAAGUGCUGUGAAGCUGGUUUGUGUUUGUCACAGGGCAGAGAGUGAG
rnacentral:lncRNA from 1 species